CCUACGGGGGGCAGCAGUGGGGAAUAUUGCACAAUGGGGGAAACCCUGAUGCAGCGACGCCGCGUGAGUGAAGAAGUAUUUCGGUAUGUAAAGCUCUAUCAGCAGGGAAGAAAAUGACGGUACCUGAGUAAGAAGCCCCGGCUAAAUACGUGCCAGCAGCCGCGGUAAUACGUAGGGGGCAAGCGUUAUCCGGAUUUACUGGGUGUAAAGGGAGCGUAGACGGCAGUGCAAGUCUGGAGUGAAAGGCGGGGGCUCAACCCCCGGGCUGCAUUGGAAACUGUACGGCUGGAGUGCAGGAGAGGUAAGUGGAAUUCCUAGUGUAGCGGUGAAAUGCGUAGAUAUUAGGAGGAACACCAGUGGCGAAGGUGGCCUACUGGACUGUAACUGACGGUGAGGCUCGAAAGCGUGGGGAGCAAACAGGAUUAGAUACCCUUGUAGUC
rnacentral:rRNA from 1 species